AUGUUAAAGUUCAUUUUUAUAAAUAUUUUAUUGAUUGCGUUUGUUAAAGAGUGGUGGUUUAUUCAAAUUUCUUUAUUUUUAAUGUGUUUUAUUUUUAGGUGUUUUAUGGGACAUGACUUUUCUGUUUCGGGGUUGGGAUUAAGAUUAGGUUCUGAUCAUUUAGGUUUUAUUUUAAUUAUAUUAAGAAUAUGAAUUAUGGCACUAGUUAUUUGUGCAAGUCAAAGAAUUAAAAAAACAAAUAAUUCUCCUAGAGGGUUUUUAGUUGUAAAUUUACUAUUGCUGUUAGCAUUGCUUUUAACGUUUUCAGCAACAGAUUAUCUUUUGUUUUAUAUUAGAUUUGAAAGAUCUUUAAUUCCUACUUUAAUUUUAAUUUUAGGCUGGGGUUAUCAACCUGAGCGAAUUCAGGCUGGAGUUUAUAUGUUAUUUUAUACAUUGUUUGCCUCUUUGCCUUUGCUUGUUUCUCUAUUAAGAUUUUACAGAUUGGGUGGUAGUCUAACAAUAGGUUUAGUACCAUGCGCUGAAAGAUCUAAUUUUAUUACUUUUAUGUGGUAUUUUUGUACAAUUUUUGCUUUUGUAGUAAAACUUCCUAUAUAUCUAGUUCAUUUAUGACUUCCAAAGGCUCAUGUUGAAGCUCCUGUAGCUGGAUCUAUAAUUUUGGCUGGUGUUUUAUUAAAAUUAGGUGGUUAUGGUUUGAUUCGUGUUCUCUUUUUAUUUCCUGAAGUAAAUAAAAUAUUUUCUUGAUUUUGAGUUAGUGUGAGAAUUUUAGGUGGGGUAAUUGUAAGAUUUAUAUGUUUACGUCAAGUAGAUAUUAAGUCAUUGAUUGCUUAUUCUUCAGUAGCCCAUAUAGGCUUGGUAUUGAGAGGACUAGUAGUUUUUGGUUGAUGGGGUCAAACUGGAGCUGUAGUAAUUAUGGUGGGGCAUGGAUUAUGCUCGUCUGGACUUUUUUGUCUUGCUAACAUAGUUUACGAGCGUUUAGGAAGUCGAAGAUUAUUGGUGAAUAAAGGUUUAUUGAAUUUUAUACCUAGUUUGGGAUUGUGGUGAUUUUUAUUGAGGAUUGGUAAUAUAGCAGCUCCUCCUACAAUUAAUUUAUUAGGAGAAAUUAGACUAAUUUUAAGUGUAGUAAGAUGAAGAAAGCUUAGCAUGUUUGGGAUUGGUUUAUUGUCUUUUUUUAGAGCUGCGUACACUUUAUACAUAUAUUCGAUAAGACAGCAUGGGUUGUUUUUUAAUUCAUUGUUUUCUUGUUGUUCUGGAAAAGUUUCUGAAUACUUAGUUUUAAUAUUACAUUGAUUGCCUUUAAAUGUUCUUAUUGUAAAAACGGCUAUAAUUUUACCAAGAUUUUA
rnacentral:misc_RNA from 1 species